UCGUGUUUUUCUUUGGAUUUUUUCUUUGUGUUUGACAUAUUUUCAGUUUGGAUUCUUGAUUUUCCUUUUCGAUUUUUGUAUUUUUUUUCUUUUAAAAGUCUUUAAUCUAAUUUGAAAUGAAGAGUGGACUACGAUUUGAUAGAUUUAAGUUUUUAAUACAAUUAAUUGCCAUUUUUGGGUUAGGGUUCUUCUACAAAUUGCCAUUUUUGAGUUAGGGUCUUGAUUUCCUUUUCUUGCGUGAUUGAUCUUGUAACUUUUUGAUGUAAUGUUUUUUACAGAAAGUUGCUAGCAAUUGGAGGAGAUGGCUAGGGUAAUUUCUUUUGACAGAAAGUUGGUUUCGAGGUGUUGAAAUCUGAAGUUUUGGUGAAUCAUUUAAAAAUGGAGUCUGAAAUUGCAGCUGAUGCAUUACUAGAUUAUGUUACAUUUCAAAUUUUGCCAGAAAACAUAUAUGGUGCAUGCAUAUGUAGUGAGGAGAAAGAGGAAAUGGUUGGGGAUGGUUGGGGAUGGUCCUCUUGAGCAUCUCUUGGAACAUGUACCCUACAUAAAGGAUCAAAUCGUUAAAGGAUCCUGUGAUAACUUCAGAUUAGAGUUACCCAAUCCCACUGGUGAAAACGGAUGGUUCACAAAAGCCACGUUAACGAGGUUUCUUCAUGUGAUUGGUUCCCCAGAUGCACUUAAUAAGUUCAUUGCUGUCAGUAACGAGUUGUCCCAGCUGGAGGAAACGAGAAAGUGUUAUCUUUCAUUACAUACCCAGGGCGAUAGGAACGCAUCAUCAGAUAACUCAAAAUAUACUCGGUUGGGAGAACUUCAAACGGGUGCUUGCGGAUGAUGUAAGAAUGUUUCAUCACUGCCUUCAAUCGUUGUUAAUGGACCAGCUAAAGAGAAUCAAACUCCUUUUGAAGCCACACCACAUUCAUUAGAUCCGUCAACACUACCUUGGACGGGAUGGGUCUAAAAGAGUAGAAUAUCAAAAAGUCUUGAACGCCCAAAUGACAGCUGCCAUGAGAAAGUAGAGAGUAGAAAAGGAAGGGAAGAUAGUGAUGAGUCCUAACAAAAUCUCAGGGUUCGGGUUCUUAAGAAGGAAGGGAAAGUUGAGUAUAUCAUUGCCUUGCAGUGCCUUUUCUUUGUAAUUAUAUUUUUUGGUUCCUAGAAGAAGAAAGAGAUCUUUAUUUGCAGAAACCUUUCUUCAUCCCUUGUUUA